AAAGAAGCGAACCAAUAACGCCCCUAUUCUCUCUCUUUCUCGCUCGCCCUCUCGAUCUCGAUGAGCUUCGUCUCCCACGCCUACCAUGGAUCUCACCGUGCAUUAUCGGAUCGGUUAUGUCCUUGACUCUCUCAGGAAAGUUCAUCUUCACGUACUUGUGAAGGUUUACAUCAUCCGUGAACAUUGUAUCGGUUGGUCUCAAUCCAGUAAACAUCUCGAGCAGAAGUAUUCCGCAACUGUAGGCAUCGCCCUGAAUCGAGGCUGGGCCUCCCAUUCCAUACUCUGCAAUUCAUAUAACAAGAAGGGAGGUGUAAUUCUGAAAUGCCUCCGCAGAGCAUAUUAUUCCCUGUGACUGAACUCGAGCUCAAAUUUGCAAAAACUCCUGUGGUGGGAACUUCACCUUCGAGAUUAUUGAAAGAUAAAUUCAGAUACUGUAACAACCGAAGCGUACCCAAAAAUGCCGGGAUUGGCCCAGAUAAGUUGUUAUUUGAAAGAUUCAAUUCCUGAAUACCUUUUAAGUUGCUCAGAGAUUGAGGAAUACUCCCUUCAAAGUGGUUACUGUCCAUAUAUAGGUACACUAACACUUCACAUUCUCCUAAAGUGCUAGGAAUUUCUCCUGAUAACUUGUUGUUGGAAACAUUGAACUGCAGGAGAUUAUUCAGUUUACCCACUUCCAAAGGCAACGAUCCAGUAAGAGAAUUGUACGCUAAAUCGAGGUAUCUCGAAAGGGAGGAGAUGCUUACAAGUUCUUUAGGUAUCUCACCGCUGAGAUUAUUAUAUGACAUGUUCAAUGUGAUAAGAGCUUGCAAGUUUCCGAAACUCGAAGGAACUAAGGUUAGCUGGGAUUUGCCCGCUAAGAGAGUUGAAGCUUACGUUUAAGUAUUGAAGAUGGAGAAGGCGGCCGAGUUCUGGAGGGAUUUGGCCGUGGAAUUGGUUAUCAGGGAGGUGGAGUUUCGUGAGGAAGGUGAGGUUGGCUAAAGAGGGAGAGAGGGAGCCGGCUAAGUUGAGGGAGUCUAGCUUGAGAGCAGUGACGCGGCCCUGGUGGCGACUGGGACUGCCGCAGGUUACACCGCGCCAUUGGCAGAGAGAGAGAGAGCGGUUGUGAUCGUUCCACGAGGAUAAGGCGCCGAGGGGGUCGGAGGUUAUCGAUGCCUUGAAGCUGAGGAGAGAGUAGAGAUCAGUUGUGUUGGAUGACUGUUGUGAGGGUGAUGCGAGAAAGAUAAACAGAAGGAGAGUUAGUUGAAGUAGUUUCAGAAAAACAGUCAUUGGCGGAAGUUCCAGAGAGAGAGAGAAAAAAAGAAGAAGAAGAAGAAGGAGAAGAUUGUUGGCUUCUAUGGCUUGCUUUUAGCUGCUAAAGAGAAUGCUACAAAUUGUUGCGAAUUGCCGGCUUGCUUUGACCUGCAAUAGAAAAUAGAUUUCUCCUUUGUCAAUGGCUGGGAGUAUGAACACAAGCUCCUAUCAGCCUAUGGGUUAAAAGAAAAAGGACCCCCCCCAAAAAAAAAAUCCUUAGGACAAGACAAUGUUGGCCUGCAGCAUAUUGCUUUAAUGUAACAGAAAAUGCUAUGCCUUCCCGAACGUAGUGUUUGGAUCUUGCCCGUGUGAAUCUCACCGUAGCUCCCCAAAACACAACAUCAAUAUGCUACAUCUCUUAUAUUAAAAUAUAGAGCAAUGCUUCU